AUACGGAGGGUGCAAGCGUUAAUCGGAAUUACUGGGCGUAAAGCGCGCGUAGGCGGCUGAUUAAGUCGGAUGUGAAAUCCCUGGGCUCAACCUAGGAACUGCAUCCGAUACUGGUCAGCUAGAGUUUUGGAGAGGUAAGUGGAAUUUCCGGUGUAGCGGUGAAAUGCAUAGAGAUCGGAAGGAAAACCAGUGGCGAAGGCGACUUACUGGCCAAAAACUGACGCUGAGGUGCGAAAGCGUGGGUAGCGAACAGGAUUAGAUACCCCAGUAGUCC
rnacentral:rRNA from 1 species